AUUGAACGCUGGCGGCAUGCCUUACACAUGCAAGUCGAACGGCAGCACGGGUGCUUGCACCUGGUGGCGAGUGGCGAACGGGUGAGUAAUACAUCGGAACGUACCUUAUCGUGGGGGAUAACGCAGCGAAAGCUGUGCUAAUACCGCAUACGCCCUGAGGGGGAAAGCGGGGGGAUCGAAAGACCUCGCGCGAUUAGAGCGGCCGAUGCCUGAUUAGCUUGUUGGUGGGGUAAAGCCCACCAAGGCGACGAUCAGUAGCUGGUCUGAGAGGACGAUCAGCCACACUGGGACUGAGACACGGCCCAGACUCCUACGGGAGGCAGCAGUGGGGAAUUUUGGACAAUGGGCGAAAGCCUGAUCCAGCCAUGCCGCGUGCAGGAUGAAGGCC
rnacentral:rRNA from 1 species